UCUCACUACAGUGAUGAUCUCGGU
rnacentral:piRNA from 1 species